rnacentral:rRNA from 1 species
AGAGUUUGAUCCUGGCUCAGAACGAACGCUGGCGGCAUGCCUAACACAUGCAAGUCGAACGAAGCCUUCGGGCUUAGUGGCGCACGGGUGCGUAACGCGUGGGAAUCUGCCCUCAGGUACGGAAUAACUCAGGGAAACUUGAGCUAAUACCGUAUAAUGACUUCGGUCCAAAGAUUUAUCGCCUGAGGAUGAGCCCGCGUCGGAUUAGCUAGUUGGUGAGGUAAAGGCUCACCAAGGCGACGAUCCGUAGCUGGUCUGAGAGGAUGAUCAGCCACACUGGGACUGAGACACGGCCCAGACUCCUACGGGAGGCAGCAGUGGGGAAUAUUGGACAAUGGGCGCAAGCCUGAUCCAGCAAUGCCGCGUGAGUGAUGAAGGCCUUAGGGUUGUAAAGCUCUUUUACCCGGGAAGAUAAUGACUGUACCGGGAGAAUAAGCCCCGGCUAACUCCGUGCCAGCAGCCGCGGUAAUAC